ACUGUCCUUUUGAGUCAGAGUCUCUUUCUGACAAAGUCAUGUUAGGAUAUAUCAGUUAUCCUGUUAGAACCUCUGUGUGGAAUACACUGUUCUGUUUCAGCUGCAACGUUUAUGGUCACGUCGCAGCAGUUUGUUGGAGGGAUAUUCCAAAAUGUGGGGAAUGUGUAGGAGGGCAUGGGAUAGAGAAUUGUGUAGUUUCGGUGGAUAACGUUGUGUGUGUCAACUAUAGGGAUGCCCAUUGUUUAACGGCCUUCAUUUUGCCGCACCCCUGGGCUAAUGGGGAUUGUGAGGGGGAAAAUUACGUAUUUAUUUGAUAUUACUGGUGACCAAUUCAUAUUUAACUAAUAGUAAGUCAUUUCUGUCCUACUAGUGUCUGUGUUUUUAUGGUCUCCACUCUACAGUAUUUCCCUGCAGCUAAUCUGGGCGUAUGGUCACUGGAGAUGGCCUGAGCUGACAAAUGAGUUAAACACUGCAUUACAUAGACAAUAAUGUUUUUAACUAGGGAUAGUUUAGGAGUAGAACAAUCCCUCGUUGCCUCUAAAUCGUUCUUGCAUCUGGGAAACUGAAUCAGGGUUAAAACAACAACCCUGUGCAGAAAACGACCUGAUGAACCCAGAGUGGUUUAUGAUGCCCCGAUGCCCCAUGGGAUAGGUGGAACCAAUCAUGACUAGGUAUUUUUAGUGUCAGCUAUAUAUAGUACUCUGCAUUUGUGUAAAGGUUAGGUUACUAACACUCAAGGGUGUGGUGAGCCUCAUUAUUGCAAUAAUUAUUCGAUAUUGAAUAAAGACUAUUGUUUGAAGAAAUGACAGUCUCACUUGAUUAAAAUGUCCCAUGACAGGAUCCAUAAUAAAUACCAAUCUUGCUGGGGAUCAGAAGCGUCCGGUGCGAGAGAGGCAGGUUGAGGUGACUAGAGUCAGAGUUGUGCAGAAAGUGUUGUAUUCUGAAGCAGUGAAGAACGUAGAGGAUGGGUCAAGGGUAGUAGAUCUGUGCCAGCACCGAGGGAUAGGCCAGUGACUGAUAUAUGCUUCAGUAAGGUUGGCUUCUUAGCGUUCAUAACAAUGGUUAACAACUGUACUGCAGAAAUGGAAUGCAAAUCACAGAAAAUAGAUGUGGUGGCAGCUGCAGAGAUGUAUUUGGGUAUAUGACGUUUGACUUCAGAAGAGUUACAGGGUGUGUCGAGGGGGGGUGUCCCGUGCUCCAAGGCCGGUGGCAUGGUGCAGGAGCAGAUAGGGUCAAUGUAGUGGAUUUUUAAUGAGUGUAGGGUUAUUUAUUUAUUUACAUUCCCCCUCCCUUUUCCCAUUUUUGUAUCACAAAGUAAAAGGGAUUUAUAUUAUAGUGUAGUCGGGGGCAGUAAUGUAACAUAAUGGAUGCCAACCACUGGUAAACUCUGAAGAAGAAGGUGACAUCCACUGUCCUGGUAAGAGGAAUUCCCAAUUUAUAUUGUCCAAUGAAUAUACACAUUUUGCCCUAGACAUUUCAUAGGCUAAACUUACAUUUGUAUGGGAGUGAAUAACCAACAACAUUUUACUUUAGCAACUAACUACAUGGAGAACGGGCAUCUUAAAAGACCUACCCUAACUUGUAAUACUCACUCCUUUAAACAGGUACAUUCUUAACCAACAGUGCUAACACGGUCUCUGAUAAUGAGAUGCGCACCCUGUGCCCAAAAGUGUGACGUCAGUGGUGCGUUCACCUAGUUGCCAUGCCAGCGGUGGUGAGAGAGUAGGGAGCAGGUUGGCGAUACCAAACCAAACAAAAUGAUUUUAAAAUAAAUGAUAGCCUAAUAGUAACCAGAUUCUGGUAUUUGUUAUAACAAAAUAUCUUAAACAGAAUCUAGGAAAUAACUUGUUUGUGGGUAGAAACAGAGGAAAAUGGUUCAGACAGGAACAUCAUCACAAGGCCUUGCCUUUAGUUUAGGUGAAUUGGGUAGUCUUUUCUGUAGGUCUAUUAGGCUAGUGAGCUAAUAAGAUGAUAUCCAGUGUUUCACUGUGUGCUUUUCUUUCAGGCAGAGCCCCACCGGUUUUGCAUGUUAUUUUGGCGUGAAAUUAGUGUCACAUAUAAGUUUGCAAACAAUGUCCUUGAGUUAAUAAAGCCACAUACAAACAUGUUCUCUUUCUUCAGUAAGACAGCUCCAAAAUGCAGGUGUUUUAGUCUAGCUCUGUCCUUUCUGUGGUGGAGUGGCAGCCAGCGGAAAAUACAGAGCGUAGGCGUUGGUAAUCUUCUCUAGUUGCGCCGUGAUUGGCUCAGUGUUCUGUCACUCAUUGGGACAUUAUGUCACCACCGAAUCUACAGGGAGAGGUAAGCAGUUCAAGCCCACUUGGGUGCUGCCAUAGAAUUGCCCAUCCAAGAAGGCUCAAGGACUGAUCAUGUCAACGUGAUACUUUCACAAUCUUAGCUAUCAAAGCGGUCAUUAUCUUGAAUCACGUCGACAAUCUACUGGAAAAUCCUUGUCAAAUGAAGAGAUAUUGUAGAUAAAACGUAUCGGUGCUCUUCGGCCAUAGGAUAUAAACAUUACACCAGUCGGAAAUUGCAAAUAAAAGAACGAGUGGUUUAGAACUAACCAAUGGCAAGCGUAGCCUGCUAUUCGGUGGAGAGGGUGUGUGGUCCGGGUUUAAGGAGUUAAAACAUCUGUCUGAAAUGGUCUCUUUUCCAAUCUUAAAAGAAUUAACAUUCAACACCAUGGGCCAGAAAAGGUUGAAUACCUUGGCCAUGCUGUCAAUCCAGCAUGACUUCUGCCGCGUUCAACACAACUGGGAACUCUGAAAGAAACAAACUCGGACUGGGAAAAUAGUUCGGGAACUCGGGCCUCUUUCUAGAGCUCCGACUUGAAGAUCACAGACAUUAUGUUUCAACUUUUUUUCUCUCUCUCCCGAGUUCCCAGUCUUGAAUGCACCAUAAAUCCAGAGCAUAUCAGACUUUGAUGACAAAAGGUUGCCCACAGGAAGGACCGCCGCGCCACGUUCAAAUGAGCACAUUACAACAACAGUGCGUCCAAAAAUGUCUAUUGUAUACUGCUACAUAAAUGAUGUAAUAUACCAAGGAGAUAUGUAUAUACAGCAGCUAAUAAAGAAAUACUAAGUGUAUGUUGUGUAGUAAGCUGUUGGUAGCCCAUGUGGCUCACGUUAACGGCUUGUGUACAUUAGUACGUGGUAAAUUGCCGCAUAUUAUAGCAGCACAUUCUGUUUGUGUGUCAAGAAUUCAGCAUAGCAAGUUUGGAUGAAGGUCUGGUUACUAAAUGGGUAAAUCGUUUAAUCCAUUUUCUGUUUAAUGAAUUAAUUCACAGGUAAAUAGUGAUACUCUCUAAACUGCUCUGACGACAAAACAAACCGUGUUGCCCUGUCUCCAAUCAUCCACAUGGCUGGGAGAACCUAUUCAAGUAAAUUAAUCCAUUUUGAAAAUGUAAACAAACAAAACAAUGUAUUAUUAUCUACCGACGACGUGUAUGUCGAUUAAGGCAGCACCUCUGAUUCAGAGGGGUUGGGUUAAAUGCGGAAGACGCAUUCAGUUGUACAACUGACUAGAUAUCACCCUUUCCCGUAGCUAGCUAGCUACAGUGCAGGCUAACUCAAAUUAGCUGUUCAUGUAUCUAGCUAGCCAACUUGACAUACUGUAUAGAUAGGUAGCUGGCGAUAUUUAAUUCCCUUAGCUACCUAACUUCAUAUUAACUAGCUAUCUUUAGCAUUGUACAUUUAAAAAACAAACUCCAAAUGUAUUUGUAGGUAGCUAGCUAACAGCCAUGGAGGAGGGUGAAAGGACUGCAGCUACAACUGUGAGAUAAGGGAGAGAGCAGGCUAUGCUGGAUAGGGCAGGAACUGUUGCGUUGUUCCAGUCCCUAGAAAUAAAAACUGAGGACGGAGAUAAUAGCAACAAAAUAUUCAGUGCUGUGUAAUAUGCGUAUAUUGAAGCUUGUUUCUUGUGAUGUUUUCUGUCCUCAGAUACAGAGAGCUGUGAAAGCCUGUCUGCAGAUGAAGAGGUCCCAAUGAAGAGCAGUGGUUCUCUGUCCUGGUCCUGGGGUUUCAAAGGGGUGCACAUUUUUGUCUUUGCCUCAUCAUCAAGCUUCAACUGAUAUUUGUGUAUUCAUUUGUGAUGCUAUCCUUAAAAUGAUCCUGCUGUUGUCACAUGCUAUACAUGCACGUGUUUGCACAUGCAUCUAUCUGUCCAAUGUUAUCAUUUGUUAUAAGAUAUAUUAUACGUUAGUAAUCCACAAUGACCUGGGGAUGUAAAAGUCUAAUAAUGACAUCAUCUCCCAUAUUCCUACAGAUACCUUGCAACUGGAGAUUCUUUCAAAACGAUUGCCUACAGUUACCGUGUUGGGUGAAUUGUUGUGAGCGUGACCAGGGCCAUCUGGGAUUUCCUCGUGGGGGAAUUCAGGCAUGUGUGAAGGCUACCUGUGUCCUGCAUAACUUCAUGAGGACGGACACAAGGACCAGGAGGGGCCCUGCAGCCCCCCGCCGUGUGCCAGAGGAGAGGUCUGCUGCUCUGCAGGAUGUUGCACGGAUGGGGGCCAACAACGCAGCAGGGGAGGAAAUCCAGACACUAGGUUAUAUCAGCUGUGUCGGUGAACCCCUCCCGCUACUAUGCCUGAAAUGGAGGACACAGCAUGAUCAGAGCAGGUAGCCUAGUGGUUAGAGUGUUGGGCCAGUAACCAGCAGGUAGCCUAG